CCUACGGGUGGCAGCAGUGGGGAAUAUUGCACAAUGGGGGAAACCCUGAUGCAGCGACGCCGCGUGAGUGAAGAAGUAAUUCGGUACGUAAAGCUCUAUCAGCAGGGAAGAAACACUGACCUUACGGUCAGCAGACGGUACCUGAGUAAGAAGCCCCGGCUAACUACGUGCCAGCAGCCGCGGUAAUACGUAGGGUGCAAGCGUUAUCCGGAUUGACUGGGUGGAAAGGGAGCGUAGACGGUGCUCCAAGUAUGGAGGGAAAUGCCGCAGCUUAACUGCGGAACUGCUUUGGAAACUGGCGAACUAGAGUGCGGGAGGGGUAAGCGGAAUUCCUAGUGUAGCGGUGAAAUGCGUAGAUAUUAGGAGGAACACCGGUGGCGAAGGCGGCUUACUGGACCGUAACUGACGUUGAGGCUCGAAAGCGUGGGGAGCAAACAGGAUUAGAUACCCCUGUAGUC
rnacentral:rRNA from 1 species